UGGAGCUCGGCUUAGAGGAUGC
rnacentral:siRNA from 1 species